rnacentral:rRNA from 1 species
GGGGAAUUUUGGACAAUGGGCGCAAGCCUGAUCCAGCCAUGCCGCGUGCAGGAAGAAGGCCUUCGGGUUGUAAACUGCUUUUGUCAGGGAAGAAAUCUUUUGGGUUAAUAACCUGGGAGGAUGACGGUACCUGAAGAAUAAGCACCGGCUAACUACGUGCCAGCAGCCGCGGUAAUACGUAGGGUGCAAGCGUUAAUCGGAAUUACUGGGCGUAAAGCGUGCGCAGGCGGUUGUAUAAGACAGAUGUGAAAUCCCCGGGCUCAACCUGGGAACUGCAUUUGUGACUGUACAGCUGGAGUGCGGCAGAGGGGGAUGGAAUUCCGCGUGUAGCAGUGAAAUGCGUAGAUAUGCGGAGGAACACCGAUGGCGAAGGCAAUCCCCUGGGCCUGCACUGACGCUCAUGCACGAAAGCGUGGGGAGCAAAC